UUGAUGCUGUAGUAAUUAAAGUAGUAGUUCUGCAGAAGUAGGAGUAGUUGUUACUUUCAAAGCAAUUUCUACAAGUUUAAAUUCCUUAACCCUGUCCAAGUGGUAUACACACUGUUUUUUCUCAAUAUCAAACUCAGCCAGUCCAGGUUGUCAAAUAACAAUCUAUCUGAUAAGCCAAGCAUGUGUUGUACAUCAGAUGUUGGGUAUGUUUGCUGCAAAUCUAUUGGUUAUAAGAUAUAACAGCCUUUUCUAAUUGGCUGAAUUCAAAUACAGAAAGUUUACCUGUUGGAUUGAAACAUGAAACAUGGUGGACAAUGUACUGGUUUAACUUGUUAAAAUAAAGUUAAAGACAUUUAACAAACAGAAGAGUCAUUAGUUUUUCCAUUAAAAACACUUUCUUAAAAUACUUAUGUAUUUAUAUCAUUUGGAAAGUGACAUGAAAUAUUGCUAAAGAGUGAUGCAUACAGUGUUUGAGCAGUCUGUCUAGGAAUAGAACAACAACUGAAGUUGAUGGAAGAUACUGCAGAGUUUGGCAGGGAAAUAAUCCAACAGCAAAGCGGCUCUUUAAGCCCAUUUACCUAGAGGACUUACAGGGCCACAAAUUCAUGAGCACAUGUGAGCAGUAUACAAUGUACCUCAUACCAAAAAGGACCCGGAGGCAGUGACUGGUGUUCAAUAUUCUCAGAAGAAAAGGAAAAUGGCAGUGGAAGACUUGGACAAACAUUUUUAGCCUCUGUGUUAAGCCUGGCAGUCUGUGGCUGGUGACAUGUUUUAUUUUGGUUACUUCUUGUAUAAAAAAGACCAGUUAUUUAUUUUGUGAAUUGUAUUUUGUGUUUGUUUUUUGUCUUAAUUUAUUUGUUGUUUUUUUAAUUUAGGAAUUUGAAACUUGGAUAAUUGAAUUAAGUCCGUGUUCAACAGUACUGAGCAUAGUAUAAUAAAUAACAAAUUUACAACAGUUGUUAAUUUGUUAUGUAUUAUUAUUAACUAUGCUCAGUACUUGAAUACUGGCUGUCUGCAUGGGAAUUUGUUUUCUAGAAAGUUGGUUUCAGACUUAAAUAUUUGAAGUUAACCUUCGGAACUUUUCUAGAAUUGUACUGGAACACAUCAACUAGAACUGAACUUCUGUAAUCGUACUGAAAGUGUUCUAGAAUUAAUAAGGAACAAUUGUUGAACGUUAAAAUUUAUGAGAAAAAACUCUAGAACAAUUGUGCGUGAUGUGUGUGUGCAUGUAAUUGUGUGUGUUUAUGAACAUAUGUGAGAAAGGAAGUAUACUUGUCAUAAGAGAAAUGUAAAAUUCUACUUCUAUGUUUUAUAUUGUGCCUUUUAUAAGUUUUUCUGUUCUCACCUGUAUAUGCGUGCAUGUUUAUGGAUGUGUUUUUGAAUGUGUGCAUGCAUGCCUGUG